GAUUAUGGAUUGUAAUGUUUAGACAAUGGAAACAGACGCAGAAAAUUGAUAUCAUUUAUGUAUUAUUUGCAAGUUCACUAUUCUAUUUAUUUCUCUUAAUAAACUGAAAUACUAUAUCGACUGUGAUAAUUGUUUUAAAUUGUCAUCUCCGUUUUCCCUGCAUUAUAAAUACCGUUCAAUAACCCGGCACAACCGAAUUCUCGAACAUGCCCGAUAAUCAGAAUUUUACUAUAAAAUGAUCUAAUAAUUGAAUACAGGAGAACGUGGCAGGAAGGUUGACUGUAUCGAAGCGGUCUGAUAGGACCAAUUGAGAGGCGAGUCGUUAAAACGAGAAGUAGGACCGUGGAAUACCGUCGAAGGCCGAAAGAAACGAAAAAGUUGAUCAGGGAAGAAAAAGUUCCCAUGAUCGGUUAUGCUUCUAUCGUCGCACGUCGGCGACAAUGGCGGGAACGAGAAAUCAUACGUACACGUAUGUACAUAUACAAAUGUACUUACACGCCGGCGUUUCACGCUCUGCCCUCUCCACUUCUGCGUCGCUUUUCCAGGCGCAGGCUGUGCAGGAAUGCGCGCGUACAACUACGCACUUCCGUUGAUAAAAAUACACGGGAGGUAUAAUGUGUCCCGGUACACGCGCGACCGUCGUCAUUUUCGCUCGUCUGUACGCGCACGGUCGCGACCGACGGAAGGGGAGCAAACAGAGAAGAAGAAAAACAAGACGGAGCGAAAAACAGGGAGAUGAAGAGGGAGACGAGGGAACGUCGAAAGAGGACGCAAGUCGCAUUAUACGCGUACGCAGCACAAUAAUAUACCGACGAUAAUUUGCUGGCCGCAUGUGCGCCGACUGCGAGUGCGACCACGACCAACUGGCUGCCCCGGUCGUGCGACAUUAAGCGUAAUGCGAGUGCACCGUGUGCAUAGACGCCGCAUUAACGAAAAACGAGAACACGAAGGCUUAUUACAGCCAGAGAGAGAGAGAGGUACGUGUUACGUCGAGGAUAUUAUAUUGGGUCAUCCGAAUAGUUCUCACCGGAGCUGGGUAAUAUUAGGCGAUGAAAUGAAUUCUGUGCCUUUCUAAGGUAAACUCACCAUUUAUGUAUAAAGAAAAACCGUAUAACUUUUAAUCUUCCCUCGGUCAUACAUUCCAACAUGUACAACCAAAUUUCAAAGCAAUCUGAUUCAUUACUAUGUUGAUACUUUAAUGUAACAAAAUGGCGGGUAAAUAUUCCUGUUUAAAAGAAAGUUAUGAAUGUAAAAAAAAUGAUAGAAGAAUAAUGUAUGUAAAAAAAAUGAGUUAUGAAUGUAAAAAAAAUGAUAGAAGAAUAAUUGCUACGUGUAAUAAUCGUCAAGCACAAUUGUAACCUGUUAGAAGAACAACAAUUUUAUGGAUCCUCCCUUUUGUGUCUAACGAAAUGUGCACUGCUGUUUGGGUGGGCUCCUUUUUUCAGGAGCUCCAAAUUAACAAGUUAUAAAGUAUGUUAGUGUCUUAAUAGCAGCAUUGCGUGGAACCUUUCUCCGUAGUUACAAGUGAGAUUUGAUUAUGUGCAAUUUAAUGUCUUCUAUAUUUCAGGGACAUUAGCAAAAAUAUGAAAAAUCAGAAUUUCUUUGUAUCGUAUAUAAUUUUAAUAUCCUCCCAAUGAAAUUCGAGCAAAUAUAAAUUCGACUCUUUAAUUUUCUUUAAGCAUUUUUACUUAAAUUUGAGUGGGCAGAAUGGACUUUGAAUUCUAAACAAAAAUACAUCCUUUUGAUAAGCAGUGUAUCGAUCGUCGAACUUUCUUUGUCAGCGCGGACCUAUCCGACGUCGCGCGUAACGCGCGUACAGAGAAAAGUCCAGCGUUCGUUGAGUUCUCGUCUUGCAUUCCGUGUUGCCCUGCAAAUUGACACGAGCACCAACGCGCGCGGAGGAUGCAAUGCGCAUUCGAGACUCCGAACUGGAAAUAAAAUUCGGUCAUUACGUGGGAUUAAGAAUCGCUCGGAACGGAGAAAAGGGAGGCUGUGUCGGUCGUGAUUUAAAAAUGGUCACCGUGCUGGAAGAGCGUACGGCGAAAUGAUCUUGGUGACGCUUCCUCUUCGAGAGCACAUCGAACUGACAAGAAGAUCCUAGAGUUAAGAAUUCGAAGAGUAAAUCUAUAGCUCGAAUGAUAUUUCGUUCUGAUAGGGCUUUCUGUUUUAUAAACAAAUAAGAUUUUUUGCCAGGACCAGAUUUUCCUUCUCGCUCGCAUAUUAAAUACAUAAGUCUUGUACGAUUGUGUUUGACAAAUAUUAAAUCUCUGUUUACAAAAUAUACAAAUAAUACUAAUAUUUACUGUACUUAUAAAAAUCUCGUUGGAUAUCACAUGUACUAGUAUCCAAAAUGUCAUGUUACCAGUCACGGUAGGAAUACAUGAAGUGUCGGUAGGUCAAGUGUUAACAAUUCUUUUACAGGAAUAUUUGAAGACAAUUAUCGUAAUACAGAAUUAAUUUGAUCGUUAAAUUAGUUUUCUUCUUCUCUCUCUAAUUACAAAGAUAUAAAAUUGUAUGUAGAUCGGAUAUGCUUCGAACCCGGAAGCUUUAGUGUUAAUACACGAAGUGUUCAUUCCGUUCAAGAAAUAAACAAUAAUGUUCUUUCGUACGAAGUAGUGUUAGUACGCUAUUUUUCAUGUACGCAUCAGGUAAAGCGAGGACCUAGCGGCAAGUCAGGUAUAAAGCAUCGACGCCCGGUAAGGGUUAAUAAGUGAACCACUCUCUAAGCCACGUCCGAACGCGUUACCUUAUCCCGAACCGCUGAUCGAGCACGUCUCCUCAUAAAUUUCCCUCGAUUUCCUCGGGCGUUUCGCGUUCGGACACCCGCGCCGUAGACAAGCGUGAAAUGGACGCGUGCACGUAUAAUUACGCUCGGCGCACACCUACGUCGCGCGGACAUCGUGUAACGAUCCGUUAAUAACGUUACCGUUAACCGCGCAUUAGUGGUCGCCGCGGCUAUUUGCAUAUCGGAUCGGUAAUUUCCAUCUGACGCCAGCCUAGAGAAACGAGUCCUCCGCAUGGGUGAUCGGGUGCAUGAGUGCGUGCGCUUCGCGGGCGUAUGCGUGGAAACAUGUUCGAUGGUACCGUAUUUAAACACGACGGCGCUAGGUGUACCCCACGCUGUGGCACCUACGUGCGCCAUUACGGAGAACGUAGCAGUGAUUUAUCCCAUACACUCGAAUCGGAGCCGUCGUCUCGAUCCGAAAUGGAUAUAUGUAUAUACGCGUGUACGGCGGCGUGAAUUUAAAAUGCGCGAAGAUCGGUCGGGCAGAUUAAGCUGGGAAUAACAGUAUUUUCCUACGGUAACUAUCAAUUACUCGGCCAACCUCGGGGAGCCUGGCGCGGGAAUUAUCGAGAGAUUAGAGAUUCGGAAUAUGUAUUUCUGGUUUCUUCGACGAUUACACGCGAGUCGAGCCUGGAGAUAUUCACGGUAUUUGGGAUGUCACGGUCUGAGGCGGAAUAAUACGGCACGCCUCGAAUGAUUGGCGGGUUCGGCGUUAUUGACAAUGCUUAUUACUAUCACGAAAUCGCUUCUAGGCAUUGAUAGCGGCAAAGAUAAAGAAAUAUCAAUUUUUAUUUAGUCCUAUACAGAAACUUCAGAGGUACAGCAGCUAUUUUAUCGUAUAUACCAGCAUAUUUUUAUCGUUAUUACGAUCGAAUACUACCAUUUAAAGAUGGACAUUUUUAAACGUUCAUUGUGUGAUAUUCGAUUUUAUGAAAUAUUCAUAAUAAUAUUAUAUCUUUCCUUCAUAUUUUCCGUGACUGUACAAUAUUCAUAAUGCGUUUUUAUUUCUCACUUGUUUUUCUCAAAUCGAUAGCGUCAUAUCGCGAUAUCAUCCUAUCCAAAGUUAUAAAUGAACUUUUCAU